rfam:Prunus persica cultivar Lovell chromosome G2, whole genome shotgun sequence.
GUAAUGUUUCUUGCUCAAAUGAGUAUUCCAAGCCACAGUUGCAUGCAGUUUGCAAGCACUGGUGCUUCUGCAAUUCUGAGAUGCUCAUUUCAGCAAGCAGCGUUAC